GACGAACGCUGGCGGCGUGCUUAACACAUGCAAGUCGAGCGGUAAGGCCCUUUCGGGGGUACACGAGCGGCGAACGGGUGAGUAACACGUGGGUGACCUGCCCUCAGCUCUGGGAUAAGCCUGGGAAACCGGGUCUAAUACUGGAUAUGACUCCAUGACGCAUGUUGUGGGGUGGAAAGCCUUGUGCGGCUGAGGAUGGGCCCGCGGCCUAUCAGCUUGUUGGUGGGGUGANGGGCCUACCAAAGGCGACGACGGGUAGCCGGCCUGAGAGGGCGACCGGCCACACUGGACUGAGACACGGCCCAGACUCCUACGGGAGGCAGCAGUGGGGAAUCUUGCGCAAAUGGGCGAAAGCCUGACGCAGCGACGCCGCGUGAGGGAUGACGG
rnacentral:rRNA from 1 species